UUUGUUUAAAGAAAAAUGAUCUACAGUAAAAGGACAACAUUUUAGAAAAAAAUUGGACAAUUCCAAAGUUCAUCAAGGUCACAAUGAAUUAUCAAAUAUAUGAUGCAAUAUCAAACUUGAGAACCGGAAGUCGUAGAGACAUGGGACUACCACCAUUCAACUCAAGACCACUUGACCUUUCAAAUGUCACAAGGUCAAGGUCAUAGUACACUCUGAAGGUCAAGGUUAAAUUUCAUCAUGACCGGACAUUGACCUCAAAUUGAAGGCCUUGAAUUACUGAUCAUCUUUGCAGUAUAUAGUAGGUUGAUAUCUGUUACCUUUCAAAAGAUAUACAUAUGUUACUAUAGUUUUAAGAAUUAUGUUAAUGUAACUUUUGAACAGACGGUCGGACAUUUUUGAGCUUAAUGUAUAAAAUGUAGAGCUCGUCGAGAGAAACAUUUUAUGCACAGUGUGUAUACAGCAAACUCUUAUCGUUUUCUUAAUAUGCAAGCUUGAAAUUGCAGCGUAAAUUUUUUUUGCACUCUGUGACCUUUGACCUUGGGUGCAAAUUGAAGGUCACAUGAACUUAAGAUUAUUGGUGUAGGUCCCAAGUCUCUACGACUUCCGGUUCUCGAAAUACAAUUUUUAUAAAAUUGAGUAAAAUUUUUCAAGGGAAAUAACUCCGUAUAAGGGUUGAUAACAUACUAAUUGUUUAUGUUUAUUAACAUUGCCAUUUGUUCUUGUAGAUGCUGCAAUUUUCAAUUCGAUUCUAUCUUUUAUACUUUUUAAGAAAAAUGCAAAUAAAAGAAAUUGCUUCAAGGGGAUGCAACUCUCAAAGGAGUUGAUGAAAUCCUACGCAGCCUCAUAUGGUAAUACAUCAUGAUGAGAUCUACCUUUAGUACAUAUAAAAUCAUGAUAUCUUUAAAAACAACGAGGGGGGACCAUGUUGAAAAAACCCAGUAAAAGGGAGAUAACUUCCAAAGGAGAUGAUGAAAUCCUAAACAGGGUCAUCUGGUAAUACUUCAUGAUGAGGUCUAUCGGUGGUUCAAAUUUGGUCUUGAUAACUUUAAUAGAAACGAGGGUAGGGCAUGUCAAAAAAAUGUUGGAAGAAAAAAAAGAAAAAAAAAAAAAAGAAAAAGAAAAGAAAAAAAAACAUUAGAAAAACAAUAAGGUCUUUCCUAACGGAGUGGAAAGACCUUAAAAA